GGUUCAAUAGUGUGUGAUUGUAAUGUAUGUCAGUUAAUGUCUGUAAUGCCUGCAUGUAAACAAUGUAUUAACGUAAUUUUAGAGGACCAGAUUGCAAACAAGUGGUAACUUUAUCUGUUAAGGCCCGGUCACAGUACACAACGAAACGAUAACUUGUAUACGCGCGCUGAUUGGUCGGAAAAUUAUCGUUAUCGUCCGACUAAAAAUAAAAUGCUC